rnacentral:rRNA from 1 species
UACGAGUUUAUCCUGGCUCAGAGUGAACGCUGGCGGCGUGCUUAACACAUGCAAGUCGAACGGUAACAGGAACUAGCUUGCUAGUUUGCUGACGAGUGGCGCACGGGUGAGUAAUAUAUAGUUAAUGUACCCCAAAGACUGGGAUAGCCACUGGAAACGGUGAUUAAUACUAGAUACACCUCUUUAAUAUAAGUUAGAGAGGGAAAUGUCUUUUCGCUUUGGGAUCAGACUAUAUCCUAUCAGUUAGUUGGUGAGGUAAUGGCUCACCAAGGCAAUGACGGGUAGCGGUUCUGAGAGGAUGAUCCGCCACACUGGUACUGAGACACGGACCAGACUCCUACGGGAGGCAGCAGUGAGGAAUAUUGCACAAUGGGGGGAACCCUGAUGCAGCAACGCCGCGUGGAGGAUGACGCAUUUCGGUGUGUAAACUCCUUUUAUAUGUCAAGAAAAUGACGGUAGCAUAUGAAUAAGCACCGGCUAACUCCGUG